GACGAACGCUGGCGGCGUGCCUAAUACAUGCAAGUAGGACGCAGUUGCGAACGGGUGAGUAACGCGUUGGUAACUACCUAUUAGAGGGGGAUAACUAUUGGAAACGAUAGCUAAUACCGCAUACUAGUAGAUGUACUUGCGUUGUUUUAGCUAGUAGGUAGGGUAAUGGCCUACCUAGGCAACGAUACAUAGCCGACACGGUAGGGUUAGCGGCCAACCCGGGACUGAGACACGGCCCAGACCCCUACGGGAGGUAGCAGUAGGGAAUCCUCGGCAAUGGGGGGAACCCUGAACGGGCAACGCCGCGUGAGUGAAGAAGGUUUUCGGAUCGGAAAGCUCUGUUGUUAAGGAAGCGGUACUUAACCAGAAAGGGACGGCUAACUACGUGCCAGCCGCCGCGGUAAUUC
rnacentral:rRNA from 1 species